rnacentral:sRNA from 1 species
CUAACUGUAUGCAGAAGGAUGAAACCGGACCCCUGCCUAUCACCACAUACAAAAAUCAACUCAUAAUGGAUUAAAGAUGUAAAUGUAAGACCUCAAACUGUAGGGAUCCUCGAAGAAGACCUAGGAAAUACAAUAUUCACAAAGUUGUGCAACUAUCACCAUAAUUCAUGUUUAGAAUAUUCUCAUCAGCUCCCAAAAGAAACCCUCAUCCAUGCACAGCCACUCCUAAUUUCCUCUUGUUCCCAACCCCCAGCCCUAGGCAGCCCCUAAUCUACUUUCAUGUCUGUAGGCCUUUUCUGGACAUUCAUGUAAAUGCAAUCAGACCAUUUGGGGCCUUCUGUGACUGGUUUCUUUUUACUUAGUAUAAUGUUUUCUUUCUUUCUUUGUUUGUUUUUUGGAGAUGGAAUCUCGCUCUAUCACCCAGGCUAGAGUACAGUGGCGCGAUCUUGGCUCACUGCAACCAUUGCCUUGCAGGUUCAAGGGAUUCUCCUGCCUCAGCCUCCUGCAUAGCUGGAAUUAUAGGCAUGAGCCACCACGCCUGGCUAAUUUAUGUAUUUUUAGUAGAGAUGGAGUUUCAUCAUGUUGGCCAGGCUGGUCUCAAACUCCUGACCUCGAGUGAUCCGCGCCCGCCUCAGCCUCCCAGAGUGCUGUGAUUACAGGACUGAGCCACCACACCUGGCAGCAUAAUGUUUUCAAAAAGAUUAUCCAUAUUGUAGCAUCUGUCAGUACUUCAUUCAUUUUUAUUGCUAAAUAAUAUUUGAUUCUAUGGACAUACCACAUUUUAUUUAUCCACACAUCUGUUGAUGGACAUUUGGGCUGUUUCCACUUUUUGGCUCUUAGAAGAAUUCUGCUAUGAAAUUCAUGUACAAAUUUUUGUGUGGAUAUAGUUUCAUUUCUCUUGGAUUUAUGCCUGGAAGUGGAAUUGCCAGGUCAUGUGGUUAUAACAGUGUGUUUAACAUUUUGAUGAACUGCCAGACUAUUUUCCAAAGCAGCCGCAUCAUUUACAUUCUCAGCAGCAAUGCAUGAGGGUUCUAGUUUUUCCACAUCCUUGACAACAGUGGCAGUUAUCUGCUUUUUUGAUUGUAGCCAUCCUCGGAGUGGGGGUGAGGUGAUAAUCUCAUUGUGCUUUUGAGUUGCAUUUCCAUGGUGAUUAAUGGUGUGGGGCAUCAUUUCAUGUGCUUAUUGGCUAUUUUUAUAUUGUUUUUGGAGAAAUAAUCUGUUCAUGUUCUUCGCUCAUUUAUAAUUAAUUUGUCUUGUUGUUGAGUUUCAGUAGUCCUUUAUAUAACCUGGAUACAAAUCCCUUAUCAGAUACAUGCUUUCCACAUAAUUUUUUAUUCUGAGGAUUGUUUUUUCACUUGAUGGUGUCUUUGGAAGCACAGAAGACUUCUAAAUUUUGAUGCAAUCCCAUGCCAAGUUCAGGUGGUAACCCCGAGUGCAGGGCUUUUCCACUGCAGUGCUUGCUUUUGAGCCUGGGACCCUUAGCUCUUGGCAUUCUAAUGGCUAAUGUUGUCUUCUUUCUUGCCUUUUCUCAUUUUUUCCUGCAGGGAUGGUUGCAGAAGAGUACAAUGCCUUUUUCUACUCACUGGUAUCCCAGGACACACAGGAAAUGGCUUACUCAACCAAGCGGCAGAGAUUCUUGGUAGAUCAAGGUUAUAGCUUCAAGGUACAUAUCCAUUUGGCCUCUGGUUAGACUAGGACCAAGGCCUUCUUGAUACUCUGGCCUCCAGGAGAAGUGAGGGCCACUGUCAGCAGGUAGACACCAAGCAUUAGGGGAUUAGAGGCCUUGCCUCAAACUCCCUUUAUCUCUGCAUGAAUCGCUGAGGGCAGCUGUUGGUGGGAAGUGUGCCGUCCUGGCAGGACUGAGAUGCCACGGCACUAUGGCCAGCACUGUGUGAGUCUGAGCCCCGCAGGGCUGCUUUCUCAGGGAUGUGUCUCCAGGUAGCUAGGAGAGCUCUUCCUUUCAUCAGCUGGCUCCAGGCCUUAGUUUGCCUCAGUUUGCCUCCCAGACAUCGGAGCCAUCCUGUACUACAAAUCAGGUAUUUUAAUAAUUGGGAAAUUCUAAAGCUUUGGCUAACUUUCAUUGGCUGAGGCAUUUGCCUUCUUUCCUGUUACACGAAUAUUACGUUUAUGUCAGUAUUUGGUGUCCAGAAGGGCUUUAUAUUUUGGGGAUAGAUGGAGGGUUCUAGAAGUAGGGGAAUUAAAUUCCCCGUAUGGUCCACUAAAAAGACAUCCCUAGAACAUUAGACUUCCAGGUUCUUGAUGGCAAAAGACAGCAAUCCAGGCUUCCUUUUGAGAUACAUUUUUAAUGUGUCUCUUUAUGCAUUGGUGAGAGUUCCCAUUAUUGGCCUUAGGAGGACAGGGUUGUCUGGCCUCCCCUCUUUUAGCUAGAGGCAGUGACACUUCAGACCUCUCAUGCUGGCCUAGAGGACAAGAUGCUUGGGUUUUGAGCCCAGUUUUUUGGAGGAUUUGCAUCAUGACCUUUUUAUCCAUCCAUGAAAAUCCCUACUGGUAAUAGCAUUCCUGCCUCCUCAUUCCUGCCAAGCUGUGAGGGUAAGAGGAGCACCAGGUCAGAAAGAGCUGCUCUGAAUUCUUUGAAAGGUGACCUCGACAAAAAAGGCACAAUACCGUGCCAUAGUAGUUUGUGUUGGUUGGAGCUGUGUCUUCAGUGCUGCCUGUUGAGGAGCAGUGGUUGGAGUUCCCAGAGUCAUGACAUGGAGUGGUUGGGCCUGGGCAGAUGUGCACAUUGUCUAUACUCUGGAUCCCUGGCCCAGAAGGACUCAGAGCCUUACUUCUAGGAAUUUUCAUUUAAUUAAAAUUAUGAGAAUUGGAGGGAAGGAGAGUUCCCUUUACAGAAUCAACCCAGGUUUUCUGCAGGGAUAGGGAGCCCUUGUAGUAAGUUAUCCCCAUAGAAAUGAAAACCCAGUCUCCACCAUGCUGUUCUUACUCUCUCAGAGAAGCUCUGUAAAUAAUCUUCCUGAUAUCCUAUUAUUUUCAUUUUCAUGUGUUCAUUCCUGCUGGAAGCCCCAGUUGCUGAGCACAGCAGAUGCCAGGGACCUUCUCAAAGGGCCACAGCCUGUGCCUUCCAGUCACUUGUCCCUUCCUUUGUCUGCUCCAAGAUGUGAAGGCUACCCGAAGGAGCCUUUUAAAAUCACUAAGAGUCUUCCUGUUGAUCUUCCAUAUGUGAUCAUUUAGAUGCUGUGUGCUGGGGGCAGAUUUCUCUAAAAUUCCUGCAUCCCUCUGGUCUUGAGACCAUUAGUUAAGCUCCCUGUUAAAGGCAGCUCCUGAUGCUGGUCUCUGGAAUGCUAGGGAGGAGCUCUCCAUUGUUCACCACCAGGGUGGCUAGGCCUGGGGAGGAAAGUGACCAAAGCAGGUGGACCCAGGAGAAGGCAGAGGAGGGCUGGGGAGAGAGAGCAGAAGGGGUCAUGUCUGCUGGCUUGGGCUUUGCAGGUGAUCACAAAGCUCGCUGGCAUGGAGGAGGAAGACUUGGCGUUUUCGACAAAAGAAGAGCAGCAGCAGCUCUUACAGAAAGUCCUGGCAGCCACUGACCUGGAUGCCGAGGAGGAGGUCGUGGCUGGGGAAUUUGGCUCCAGAUCCAGCCAGGCAUCUCGGCGCUUUGGCACCAUGAGCUCGAUGUCUGGGGCCGACGACACCGUGUACAUGGAGUACCACUCAUCGCGGAGCAAGGCGCCCAGCAAACAUGUACACCCGCUCUUUAAGCGCUUUAGGAAAUGAUGCUUAGGCGGGGUACUUCGUUCAAGACCAGCGCUUGGCACCCUCGCUGGAAAGGGAUUUUCAGCAUAACGUUUUCCUGCCGCCUCCUUGGCCUGCCUUCCAGCAGUGGCCAAAUCGUGCUGAGGAAAAUGUAUCAAGAGCUUGGCUCUGCCUUCAUGGGGCGUCUAGGGUUUUAUAAAGGAGGAGGAGACAAUACUUUUUCAAACCUUUUGGGGAGUGGGGUCAUUUCUGUAUAUAAAAAAUUUUAAUAUUUAAGGUGUAUUUAUCUCACUGUUCUGAAUAAACAGAAUGGACCAUUG